ACCUUUAUACAGUAUAGUUCGUUGUAAGGUGUGUGCCCUUGAUCUAGCGGCUAUGAGGUCGGUCUCCAAAACCGUA
rnacentral:tRNA from 1 species